UACGUAGGUGGCGAGCGUUGUCCGGAAUUACUGGGUGUAAAGGGCGUGUAGGCGGGACUGUAAGUCAGAUGUGAAAUUCCAAGGCUUAACCUUGGCGCUGCAUCUGAAACUAUAGUUCUUGAGUGCUGGAGAGGAAAGCGGAAUUCCUAGUGUAGCGGUGAAAUGCGUAGAUAUUAGGAGGAACACCAGUGGCGAAGGCGGCUUUCUGGACAGUAACUGACGCUGAGGCGCGAAAGCGUGGGGAGCAAACAGG
rnacentral:rRNA from 1 species